rnacentral:rRNA from 1 species
CCUACGGGGGGCUGCAGUGGGGAAUAUUGGACAAUGGGGGCAACCCUGAUCCAGCCAUGCCGCGUGUGUGAAGAAGGCCCUCGGGUUGUAAAGCACUUUCAGUGAGGAAGAACGCCUGGUGGUUAAUACCCAUCAGGAAAGACAUCACUCACAGAAGAAGCACCGGCUAACUCCGUGCCAGCAGCCGCGGUAAUACGGAGGGUGCGAGCGUUAAUCGGAAUUACUGGGCGUAAAGCGCGCGUAGGUGGCUUGAUAAGCCGGUUGUGAAAGCCCCGGGCUCAACCUGGGAACGGCAUCCGGAACUGGCAAGCUAGAGUGCAGGAGAGGAAGGUAGAAUUCCCGGUGUAGCGGUGAAAUGCGUAGAGAUCGGGAGGAAUACCAGUGGCGAAGGCGGCCUUCUGGACUGACACUGACGCUGAGGUGCGAAAGCGUGGGUAGCAAACAGGAUUAGAUACCCUAGUAGUC